GACGAACGCUGGCGGCGCGCCUAACACAUGCAAGUCGAACGAGAGAGAGGAAGCUUGCUUCCUCAAUCGAGUGGCGAACGGGUGAGUAACGCGUGAGGAACCUGCCUCAAAGAGGGGGACAACAGUUGGAAACGACUGCUAAUACCGCAUAAGCCCACAGCUCGGCAUCGAGCAGAGGGAAAAGGAGCAAUCCGCUUUGAGAUGGCCUCGCGUCCGAUUAGCUAGUUGGUGAGGUAACGGCCCACCAAGGCGACGAUCGGUAGCCGGACUGAGAGGUUGAACGGCCACAUUGGGACUGAGACACGGCCCAGACUCCUACGGGAGGCAGCAGUGGGGAAUAUUGCACAAUGGGGGAAACCCUGAUGCAGCGACGCCGCGUGGAGGAAGAAGGUCUUCGGAUUGUAAACUCCUGUUGUUGAGGAAGAUAAUGACGGUACUCAACAAGGAAGUGACGGCUAACUACGUGCCAGCAGCCGCGGUAAAACGUAGGUCACAAGCGUUGUCCGGAAUUACUGGGUGUAAAGGGAGCGCAGGCGGGAGAACAAGUUGGAAGUGAAAUCCAUGGGCUCAACCCAUGAACUGCUUUCAAAACUGUUUUUCUUGAGUAGUGCAGAGGUAGGCGGAAUUCCCGGUGUAGCGGUGGAAUGCGUAGAUAUCGGGAGGAACACCAGUGGCGAAGGCGGCCUACUGGGCACCAACUGACGCUGAGGCUCGAAAGUGUGGGUAGCAAACAGGAUUAGAUACCCUGGUAGUCCACACCGUAAACGAUGAUUACUAGGUGUUGGGGGAUUGACCCCCUCCAGUGCCGCAGGUAACACAAUAAAUAAUCCCCCUGGGGAGGGCGACCGCAAGGUAGAAACUCAAAAGAAUUGACGGGGGCCCCCCCACGCAGUGGAGUAUGUGGUUUAAUUUGACGCAACGCGAAGAACCUUACCAAGUCUUGACAUCCUGCGACGCACAUAGAAAUAUGUGUUUCCUUCGGGGCGCAGAGACAGGUGGUGCAUGGUUGUCGUCAGCUCGUGUCGUGAGAUGUUGGGUUAAGUCCCGCAACGAGCGCAACCCUUAUGGUCAGUUACUACGCAAGAGGACUCUGGCCAGACUGCCGUUGACAAAACGGAGGAAGGUGGGGGGGACGUCAAAUCAUCAUGCCCCCUAUGACUUGGGGUACACACGUACUACAAUGGCGUUAAACAAAGAGAAGCAAGACCGCGAGGGGGAGCAAAACUCAGAAACAACGUCCCAGUUCGGACUGCAGGCUGCAACUCGCCUGCACGAAGUCGGAAUUGCUAGUAAUCGUGGAUCAGCACGCCACGGCG
rnacentral:rRNA from 1 species